UACGUAGGGUGCGAGCGUUGUCCGGAAUUAUUGGGCGUAAAGGGCUCGUAGGCGGUCUGUUGCGUCGGGAGUGAAAACUCAGGGCUUAACCCUGAGCCUGCUUCCGAUACGGGCAGACUAGAGGUAUGCAGGGGAGAACGGAAUUCCUGGUGUAGCGGUGAAAUGCGUAGAUAUCAGGAAGAACACCAAUGGCGAAAGCAGCUCUCUGGGACGGUACUGACGCUGAGACGCGAAAGCGUGGGGAGCGAACAGG
rnacentral:rRNA from 1 species